rnacentral:rRNA from 1 species
CUGGCGGCGUGCCUAAUACAUGCAAGUCGAGCGAAUGGAUUGAGAGCUUGCUCUCAAGAAGUUAGCGGCGGACGGGUGAGUAACACGUGGGUAACCUGCCCAUAAGACUGGGAUAACUCCGGGAAACCGGGGCUAAUACCGGAUAACAUUUUGAACUGCAUGGUUCGAAAUUGAAAGGCGGCUUCGGCUGUCACUUAUGGAUGGACCCGCGUCGCAUUAGCUAGUUGGUGAGGUAAUGGCUCACCAAGGCAACGAUGAGUAGCCGACCUGAGAGGGUGAUCGGCCACACUGGGACUGAGACACGGCCCAGACUCCUACGGGAGGCAGCAGUAGGGAAUCUUCCGCAAUGGACGAAAGUCUGACGGAGCAACGCCGCGUGAGUGAUGAAGGCUUUCGGGUCGUAAAACUCUGUUGUUAGGGAAGAACAAGUGUUAGUUGAAUAAGCUGGCACCUUGACGGUACCUAACCAGAAAGCCACGGCUAACUACGUGCCAGCAGCCGCGGUAAUACGUAGGUGGCAAGCGUUAUCCGGAAUUAUUGGGCGUAAAGCGCGCGCAGGUGGUUUCUUAAGUCUGAUGUGAAAGCCCACGGCUCAACCGUGGAGGGCCAUUGGAAACUGGGAGACUUGAGUGCAGAAGAGGAAAGUGGAAUUCCAUGUGUAGCGGUGAAAUGCGUAGAGAUAUGGAGGAACACCAGUGGCGAAGGCGACUUUCUGGUCUGUAACUGACACUGAGGCGCGAAAGCGCGGGGAGCAAACAGGAUUAGAUACCCUGGUAGUCCACGCCGUAAACGAUGAGUGCUAAGUGUUAGAAGGUUUCCGCCCUUUAGUGCUGAAGUUAACGCAUUAAGCACUCCGCCUGGGGAGUACCGGCCGCA